rnacentral:rRNA from 1 species
GAUGAACGCUGGCGGCGUGCCUAAUACAUGCAAGUCGAGCGAACAGACGAGGAGCUUGCUCCUCUGACGUUAGCGUCGGACGGGUGAGUAACACGUGGAUAACCUACCUAUAAGACUGGGAUAACUUCGGGAAACCGGAGCUAAUACCGGAUAAUAUAUUGAACCGCAUGGUUCAAUAGUGAAAGACGGUUUUGCUGUCACUUAUAGAUGGAUCCGCGCCGCAUUAGCUAGUUGGUAAGGUAACGGCUUACCAAGGCGACGAUGCGUAGCCGACCUGAGAGGGUGAUCGGCCACACUGGAACUGAGACACGGUCCAGACUCCUACGGGAGGCAGCAGUAGGGAAUCUUCCGCAAUGGGCGAAAGCCUGACGGAGCAACGCCGCGUGAGUGAUGAAGGUCUUCGGAUCGUAAAACUCUGUUAUUAGGGAAGAACAAAUGUGUAAGUAACUAUGCACGUCUUGACGGUACCUAAUCAGAAAGCCACGGCUAACUACGUG